AAAAGUUCGUAUUCAUUUUAUAUAGAUCGUUAUGCAAGGCAUCUCCAACAACUUUUAAAAUUCGGUAAAAAUGAGGUUAGAAAGCGGAAAAAAGAGUGUAUCUCUUUUUCGAUCAGAAGAAAUGACAUUAGCACAGUUAUUUCUACAAUCUGAGGCGGCAUACGCGUGUGUUAGCGCUUUGGGAGAGCUAGGUUUGGUUCAAUUUAAGGAUUUGAAUCCUGAUGUGAAUGCUUUUCAAAGGAAGUUUGUCAAUGAAGUGCGAAGAUGUGAUGAAAUGGAACGUAAACUAAGAUUUCUGCAAAAGGAAAUACUUAAGGCUGGCAUUGACAUUGGAACAUCUCAUGGAAGUCCUUCUGCCCCUCAUCCUCGGGAAAUGAUUGACCUUGAGGCACAAUUUGAACAGCUUGAAAAUGAAAUGAAAGAUAGCAAUGUGAAUUUUGAAGCUAUGAAGAAAGGCUUAUUGGAACUUACUGAGCUCAAACAUAUUUUAAAAAAGACGCAAGUGUUCUUUGAAGAGGCUGAGCAUCAUCUCUAUGAACCACAGCAUGAAGGAAGAACUGAUGACUUAGCCAACUUGCUGGAUGAACAUCAAGAACAGCCUGGAUCUCAACUUGGCUUUGUGUGUGGCGUAAUUGAUCGGGAACGAGUGCCUGCAUUUGAACGACUGUUGUGGAGAGCCUGUCGUGGAAACGUCUUCUUUAAACAAGCUGAAAUGGAGGAUCCAAUGGAGGAUCCCGUCACUGGUUUUUUCAUCCAUAAAUGUGUAUUCAUCGUUUUUUUCCAAGGAGAACAGCUAAAAAGUAGAGUGAAAAAGAUCUGCGAUGGGUUUCGUGCAACAAUGUACCCAUGUCCUGAUACAACUCAAGAGAGACGUGAGAUGGCGCUGGGAGUAAUAACGAGAAUUGAGGAUCUUCAAACGGUUCUGAAUGAGACUGAAGAGCAUCGUUGUCGGUUGCUCAGUACUGUUGCAAAAAGCAUUAAUAACUGGUUUAUUAAAGUGCGCAAGAUUAAAGCCAUUUACCACACAAUGAAUAUGUUUAAUCUUGAUGUCACUCACAAGUGUCUUAUUGCUGAAUGCUGGUGUCCAGUAUCGGACCUCGAUCAAAUACAAGAUGCUCUCAGACGUGGAACGGAAGAAAGUGGUGCUUCCGUUCCUUCGAUUCUUAACCGUAUGACAACGAAAGAAGAUCCCCCAACUUUUAAUCGUAACAACAAGUUUACUGAAGGCUUUCAAAAUUUGGUCGAUGCUUACGGUAUUGCCAACUACCAGGAAGUAAACCCAGCUCUUUUUACCAUCAUCACAUUUCCAUUUCUCUUCGCUGUCAUGUUUGGUGACUGUGGUCAUGGCCUGAUAUUAUUUGUCUUCGCUUUAUGGAUGGUAUUGAAUGAAAAGAAGCUGGCUAUCACUAAACCUGGCGGUGAGAUAUUUGAAACCGUGUUCUCUGGUCGCUAUAUUUUGCUGUUGAUGGGUGCAUUUGCCAUUUAUACGGGAUUAAUUUACAACGAUUGUUUCUCCAAAUCCUUCGACAUUUUUGGCAGCGCGUGGCAUAUUGACAAAUCACACGUUUUCAAUCCAACAUAUCCCAUGCUGCCCCCCAAUUACACCGACUAUUACCGUGGAGUCCCAUAUUACUUUGGAAUUGACCCGAUAUGGCAAGUUGCUGAAAACAAAAUAAGUUUUACGAACUCGUUGAAGAUGAAGAUGUCCGUAAUUCUAGGCGUCUCACACAUGUUGUUUGGAAUCUGUCUUAGUUGUGCCAACUACAAGCAUUUUCAGCAAAGAAUCAAUGUUUACGCUCUCUUCAUUCCUCAGGUUCUUUUCCUGCUCAGCGUAUUUGGUUAUCUGAUAUUUCUUAUAUUUUACAAGUGGAUAUUUUUCAACUCUGGAUCUAAGAAUGCCCCUAGUUUACUGAUAAUUUUAAUCAACAUGUUCCUAAAAAUAAGCAGUCCAACUGCACCUGAAGAUCGGCUGUUUGCUGCCCAGCCAGUAGUCGAAAAAUUGUGCGCAAUCAUUGCUAUUUUGUGUAUUCCUUGGAUGUUGUUGUCAAAGCCACUUUACCUGUGGUUCACACGUCACAAUAUUCGUCGUCAGGUAUUUAAGUCGCACAUUUGUUUAUUACUUAUGUUUUGCCGCGAGCUCAUAUUUAAAGUUGUAGUUUUUUUCAAGAUUUCCUUUUAACCUUGUUUCUGAUAUUUUGUCUGUUUGUAUUUAUCCACAAGUAAGCGAUAAAAAUGGUGAAAUUUUGACAUGUGCACUAAAGAUGCAUGAAUUAAAUUAUUGAUAACAUCAUAUGAUCGCAGUACGAAUUAAAAAUUAAAAUAGUUUUUGUUAUGAAAAUUUUAACACGCCAUGAUUUUUUUGAGAAUGUCAAACACCAAUUUUGGCAUUAGAACGUCAUCUUUCUCUAAGUAUUAUUGAAAUCAAGGUAUCAUUGCUAAGCAGUUUCAAGAUAUACGCAUCUUCUGAGGAAAUUUACAAAUUUGAUAUUUUUGACAUCUGGUUACGCAUGCGCUGUGCGUCAUCGUUAAGCAAGCCUACGUGUUAAAGAAUAAUUUGCAAAUUAAAAGCAGUAGCUUUUUCCUCCGUGUGUAUCUCGUCGAUCCGCCAUAACUGUUUAAAAAAGGCAGAUUUUAAACUCUGCAUUUUGGUGUCUUGGUUUCUACAUGAAUAUUUACGUAGGUAUUUUUGAAAAGUGAAAACCGUCAGCAACUCUCUCCAGUUGAUUUACAUGACGGCACAUAUCUUUAUAAUUCCCAUGAUGGAUUAUCUUUCUGCGUGUAUUUGAAAUUCACAAGUAGUUAUCUUACAUCAUUCUGAUUCCCGGAACAAAUGUAUCAGAUUUGUCUGAGAUUGAUCACAACAUGAUUAGCAAAUCUCAUUAUCAUUUACACACUAAACUUCACAAGUCCGUGUAGACGUGCAAGUAAUAUUAAAAGCCAUCCAUCAAGAUAAUGAAAUUGAUUGGAAAAAGGCGAGUAUAAAAUAUAUAUCAACAGUUGAAUUCUACCUUCUUGCUGUGUUUGAUUUAACAUAACCUUAGUUUAACAGAGUUUACGAUUAUCACAUUUAGCAAUGCGUCAGUUGACGCCAACAACUAGGUGCAAACAUUUCGUUUUAUGUCAAAAAUAUUUACUUUUGUGAUAAUUUUCACUAAUGAGUAGCUAAUUUUUUUGUUACGUAGUUGAGUUUUCGAAUACGACUCACUCUUAUAACAACCGAGCAACUCAAGUUUAUAUAUUAAUAAAUAAUUUACUUGUAUUCAAUUGUUAAUUUAUACUUGUUCAAAUAUGAUUUACUGUUUGUUGUUUACGAUAUAUAAUAUUAAUGUGACAUAAGUCACAUCAUUUUUUUUGUGAGGAGGUUACAUGUUUGCUGAUCUUCUGAAAAGUAGCGUUCUUUAAACCUGAAUAUGAUACGACUGUACCAUGACUAUACCCAAUAGAUACCUAUCUUAUACUUCGUGCAUAUAGAUAACUUAGAGAGUUUUAGUUUGGCGUUUAAGGCAAACAGCCAACCGCAAAAAGUCACGUGAUCUUAGCUUUGCCGUUUGUGUUCGCAGUUCAGGUUUUAACGGCAAGAGGCCCUUCUUGCGGUAGGUGAUGUUUAUAAUGCUUAGGCAAGCUUAUACUUUUAAUACAACCAAGUGACGUUUUUGGCGAAAUUUUAUAUUUUUAUGUGAGUAUACAACAUGCCUUUUUCAUCAUCAAACGUUUUACAAAACAUGAAGUUUAGCUUAGGACAAUGCAAAUUGUAAAAUACAACUGCAAAACGCCAAACUUUGAUUCAAUUUUUUUCCAAACGGCAAACCUUAACGGCAAGAGGGUUUUCGAAGUUUGCCGUUUUCUUUAAACGCCAAACUGGAACUCUUUUUUUCCAUUGAAUAACUACGAAUUAACCAUGCAUACAUCUUCACGUAGUGAAAUAGUUUUAGUUGCUCUUACUGCAAGAAGGUCGAAUUCUGUUCACAUACUUUCACGGUUCAGUUUUUCUCUUACACAUGUAGGGUUUUGUACAGGUUCCUCAAAAUGACGAA